UACGUAGGGGGCGAGCGUUGUCCGGAGUUACUGGGUGUAAAGCGCUUGUAGGCGGUCCACCAAGUUUGGGGUGACAGUUGCCGACUUAAUCGGCAAAGUGCCUCAAAGACUGGCGGACUUGAGGGCCACAGAGGGACAUGGAACUCCAGGUGUAGUGGUGAAAUGCGUAGAUAUCUGGAAGAACACCAAAGGCGAAGGCAGUGUCCUGGGUGGUCGCUGACGCUGAGAGGCGAAAGCCAGGGGAGCGAACGGG
rnacentral:rRNA from 1 species